rnacentral:rRNA from 1 species
CCUACGGGAGGCAGCAGUGGGGGAUAUUGGACAAUGGGGGGAACCCUGAUCCAGCGACGCCGCGUGAGUGAAGAAGUAUCUCGGGAUGUAAAGCUCUAUCAGUAGGGAAGAAGAAAUGACGGUACCUGAGUAAGAAGCCCCGGCUAACUACGUGCCAGCAGCCGCGGUAAUACGUAGGGGGCAAGCGUUAUCCGGAAUUACUGGGUGUAAAGGGAGCGUAGACGGUGUUGUAAGUCUGGAGUGAAAGUUGGGGGCUCAACCCCCGAACUGCACUUGAAACUAUGUGACUUGAGUGCAGGAGAGGUAGGCGGAAUUCGUGGUGUAGCGGUGAAAUGCGUAGAUAUUAGGAGGAACACCAGUGGCGAAGGCAGCUCACUGGACUGUAACUGACGUUGAGGCUCGAAAGCGUGGGUAGCAAACAGGAUUAGAUACCCGAGUAGUC